UAUGGUCCAAGCAAAAGGUGUGAAUGAGAUUCAGGUUUCUUCUUCCAACAAAGCUCUAGAAACCAGAAUUGAUGAACUUACCUCUUUAGUGAAACAAUUGAUAAGGGAUAAUUUUAUGGUCCAAGCAAAAGGUGUGAAUGAGAUUCAGGUUUCUUCUUCCAACAAAGCUCUAGAAACCAGAAUUGAUGAACUUACCUCUUUAGUGAAACAAUUGAUGCUACCC
rnacentral:lncRNA from 1 species